UUUCGGGUUUUUGUGCUAGGCUUUAAACCUCACUUCUCGGGAUGCGAGCCAUAGGUCGGAACACUGUCAACGACCCACCAGAAAGUUUGGAAUUGUUCUGCACACAACCAACCACUCGAACCUCACAAUUUGCAAAGGUCCAGUGUGUUACAGGUCUCCCCACUAGGUCCAAGUGGGCACGAGUAGAUAAACAGAUAGAUAGAUAUGGAAAGCUAUAAAAGGCUGAACAGUAAAGCUACACUACUGUGCUCGAAUCAUGUAUAUGAAGCAUGCAUGUACAAUAAAAUAGGUGAUCAACUAGCUCUUCACAUGUCCAAGAAGUACGGCUAUUUACUUGUUCAUUAUUCUCAUGGCUCAUUCGAGAUUUCGCCUACAACUCACAUAACCGUCUCGACAACUACUAACCCGAGACCAUCUGCGGGACCCCAAAUAGGCCAUCCCUCGGGACCCCAAAUAGGUCAUCCCUCGUGACUGACUCCGGAGCGCACUGCUUGUGUGGAACGACCAUCACAAGUUGGGAACAGACAAUGAGUAUGAUCCAAUUUUCCCAUCUCAAGGGUACCCUAUCCUCUAGGGCCGCUAUCACCAUAGUCCAUGGGUUCUAUAUACACUACGACUCAUAAUGCCACUCGUUCUUUGUUUACUAACAACUAGAUGCCACUCGUUCAUUUGUUUUAACUCUUGCUUCGCUCUUUCAUCAAUGCACUAUAUCCAGCAACUAAU
rnacentral:lncRNA from 1 species